GAUGUUUUUUAAACAAAUAUAUAUUCAAAAUUUAUAUCUAUAAAAAAAUAUAAUUUUGUAUGAAGUUUGUUGUUUAUAUAUCAAACUGGACAACUACAAUUGAACACAAUGAUUUUGUUAUGUGUUUAUCAAGAGUUUUUUUGAAAAUUUUUUAAGAUUUUUCAAGUAUUUAAAAAUAAUUUCAACAAUGCAAGAUAUUCCAAAUGAAAAAUUUUGCGAUUUUAAUGCUGCAGAAAAGGCUGCGAUGAAUAACUGCAAUACCCAUUUUUAUCCAAUUAGAGUUGAUUAAAAUUUGAAAGUUACAAUAAGAAAGUGAAGCAAGAAUCACAAAUUAAAAAUCAACCUUCAGAUUCAAUAAAUGCUUGCAGAUGGACAUGCAAACAUUUGGGCCACCAAAAACCUUAUCUUAUGAAGAAAAAUCAAGGUAAGCGCAAUAAUCAGGCAAUACUUCCAUGUGGCUGCAAAAUGUUUAUGUUUCAUAUGACAACCAACGACAAUGCUAUGGUGUUAAAAAAUUGUUUCUUGAACACAACCAUCCAUAUGGUAUAGAAGAAUUUUCUAUGUAUAGUUCACAGCGUCAACCAAAAGGAUUAUUAGAACAGCAGACAUUGAUGUUGAUUGAACAUGGGGCAAAUACAGCACUUGUGACAGAUAUCUUUAAUAGAAGCGGUUUGAAAACUAAACCUAGAGAUAUUUACAACAUAAAACAAAAGCUUAAAUUCAAAGGUUAGUUGUUUUUGUAUAAACAGUGUUGAGAAAGAUAUUAGAAUCACAUGUUUUUUGUCUAUUUUAGCAAUUGUCAUAAUAUAUAUUUUUUUAUUCAACAGAGUAAAUCUGCCUUGAGUUCCUUUUUAGUUUCAUAAAACUAUUUUAAAAAUGCUGGUGGAAAACAAUUUGAUUAUUCUUUGAGUUAGAGAAUAAUUUCAUGUAAAGUUGAUGAGUAACAUAUUGUUGUUACAAUUAUACAUAUAAUAUAUGAUCUUUUACUUCCAUUAUUAUUGUUUUUUUAUGAAGAAAAAAAACAUUGGCACUACUGAUUUUGAAAUAUUAAGUAAUGUAGCAUGUCAAACCCUUUUUUGUUUUAUUUUAUUAUUUUUUGUAUUUAAUAUAAAUUUUUAUGUACUUUUGCAGGGAAAAGGUAGAGAUCUGAGUCCAUGAAAGAAAGAGAAAGUGGAUGCUUUGUUAAAAUUGGGGAUUGUGACACAGAGGGAAAUCAGUAAAUAAUUAGGCUUAAUUCAAAAGGCACUCUAAACUGUAAAGCAGAGGCUAGAAUUAAGAGGCCCGGCUAACUUUAAAACAUUCCACAUCUGAGAGAAAAUUUUCACACAUGCCAAAAGAACAACAUUUCAAAAAAGUUUCUGUGAGCUGUUUUGUUGUCACCUCAUCCAGGCUGGCUACAUUAUUUUUUAAUGAAGUAAAACACUUCUAAAUAUAAUUGUUGCUUAUAGAGUUAUUAAAUUUAAAAUGAAUAGACAAUCAGUACAUCGUUUUAUUAUCCUUGGGCAACUGAUUAUGAUGCAAAUGACCAUUUUACUAGCUGUCUUUUUUCUUUUGGGCUAAAUUCAUGACUUUUGUCUUCUCUUUUAUUUAUAUUUGUGUUUUAGAUUGUCUUUAGUGAUAAAUCAACAUGUUAAGUCCUUGAUAACUAGUGGCAGAAUGUUCGACGUUGCUCUGAUUAGAAACACUUCCAAAUUCCUGGUAAAAACUGUGAAGCAUCCAACAUCAGUAAUGGUGUGGUCUUUAAUCUCAGUUCAUGGUGUUAAAAGGUUGUAUAUAGUGGAGGGCACAAUAAGACAGCAACGUGUACUUUAUGUUAAACUUACUUGUGUUCUGAAUUCUAAUCUGCACGUUAUUUUUUUAUUUUCAGGUGUUACUGUUAUUGAAUUAAUAUUAAACUUAUGUUAAACUAAAAUUGAACUAUUGAACUUUUCAAGUAAUAAACUGUCAACUAAACUAUAAAAUAGUAGUUCCAGUUCUGGCAAAUCCAGUUUGAGAUUCACUUCUAAGCACUAGGUUAUUGGAAAGCCAAUUUUUCAGUUAUCUACAGAAAGAUUGUAUGCUGGACAAAGACAUGUAUGCUGGAUGUAAUUUAACUGCUCCAGUUUCAUUAUUUAAGUGAAAAGAGAAGUCUUCCUGAAAGUCUUGUGAUGCAUUAAUUUGUACUUGGAUGAAAUCCAGGAUACCAAACAGCUGGUUGAUGUGUCAGAAAACUGUCAACAGAACUAUCUGGCUUUAAAGGUACACAGAACACGGCAACGCAAAAGUGACAGGAUGAAAGAAGACAAGUUUAAAAGUGAUCUUGAAGAAUUGUUUGGUAUUGCGACAUUGGAUAUGAUGACAGAAAUAUAGAACAAACAAGAUUAGUAUUUUUAAUUUUUUUCUUGCCUCAAGAUUGGAGCAGAUGUAAACACAGCAGCAGCAAAAAAAAAAAAAAGCAAGAAAAAGCAAUGAGAGGAACAAGAGAGAAAGAGAAAAAAAAAGAGAGAGACAAAAAAAAAUGAUAUAAAGAACGCUCGACCAAAUGGCAUAAACGAAACAGAAGGUGAACUUUCUUUGUUGACAUCUAAUUCAGAAUCACAAGAAGAUGAGGAGUAUCAGCCAACUCAGCCAUGUAUGCCAACAGUGUCAACAAUCAACAGAUUCAACAGCUUCUACUUCAUCACUAAAAAAGAAGUUUAAGAAUAUCUUCCAGUUACCUGAAGUUGUAGAUGAAUAUGUAAUAGAUGCAACUUGUAAUAAAAGUUUAAGAAAAUAAUUGCUUGCAAGUUAGAUACAAUGAUUGUUUGUUUCCCCUUCAUAACUGGACUUGCCAAUGUGAUAAUGCUACUGGUUAUGGAGUUCCAUGCUCUCAUGCUUUCUUUGCUAUUAGAGAAAAAAAUAUGAACUUAUCUGGUUUAGAUCUUAUUCAUAAA